rnacentral:rRNA from 1 species
AAUAGAUACCCGGGUAGUCCACGCCGUAAACGAUGAGUGCUAAGUGUUAGGGGGUUUCCGCCCCUUAGUGCUGCAGCUAACGCAUUAAGCACUCCGCCUGGGGAGUACGGCCGCAAGGCUGAAACUCAAAGGAAUUGACGGGGGCCCGCACAAGCGGUGGAGCAUGUGGUUUAAUUCGAAGCAACGCGAAGAACCUUACCAGGUCUUGACAUCUCCUGACCGCCCUGGAGACAGGGUCUUCCCUUCGGGGACAGGAUGACAGGUGGUGCAUGGUUGUCGUCAGCUCGUGUCGUGAGAUGUUGGGUUAAGUCCCGCAACGAGCGCAACCCUUGUCCUUAGUUGCCAGCAUUCAGUUGGGCACUCUAAGGAGACUGCCGGCUAAAAGUCGGAGGAAGGUGGGGAUGACGGUCAAAUCAUCAUGCCCCUUAUGACCUGGGCUACACACGUGCUACAAUGGGCGGUACAGAGGGUCGCGAACCCGCGAGGGGGAGCCGAAUCCCAAAAAACCGGCUCUCAGUUCGGAUUGCAGGCUGCAACUCG